ensembl:lncRNA
UUUACAUGACAUCUUUGUUCAACAUUCUCAUUUCAUUUGAUAUAUAUAGUGGGUCUGCCACUUUUGCUUCUCUGACUAAUCCCGUCUUCACUCUGGUGGACAGCCUCCUGUAAGUAGAGUCACAGUCGUCAUAUUCUUCAAAUUAAUGGAGCUCUGUCGGAUGUUCAAACUUUGGUCUAUUUAAUGUUAUAACCCAAACCUGAUCAAUACUUUUCCAGGACUCGUUUUGAGAGCUCAUUGAUCUUCGUGUUGUUUGUGUAUUUAUGUUCUCUUAGAAAAUAUCACUAAUACACCAGGAACAGGUGUAUUUAUUUUUAUAUCACGUAACACUUUAAUUGCACACCAUUCAACCGUGUGGGACUUGGUUUCACCUGAACUACUACAGGGGUUUCACACCAAUGGAGGCGAACACUUAUUCGAUCACAAGGGUUCAGCGAGGAGACGGUGCUGACGAAUAAGGAGCUAACAGUGGUCAAGAGCUUCGUUAAUCUGCACCCGAGGACACCUGUUACACACCAUGACCCUAAAAGGACACGGCAGAGCCAAUCAGAAUGCAGCAGCUCCACGCUGUCCAGAAAACAGUUGUGAAGGAGGGACAGAGAUCUUCAUACAUCCCCCUUCCAUUCAGCCACUUAAACCCCACCUCAGCUGUCUGGCAUGUUUUGGGCUCCAUCACACAUGCCAUAGACAGCAUUGCACAGCGCUAUGCAUUUGCCCCCCUUGGCUGGAUCCUUAACUAGACCUGAAACAUUGACCAUUACAGCAGAUCUCCUCCCACUCCCACUUCGCAUUUUCAUACGAACAGACAGAAUUGAAACUAAAAUGUUUAACACACAAAAACACGAUACAGAUAAAACUGAACUGGAUUGAAUUGGAGCAGUGACUUCGAUAUUGUGCUUGUUUAUUUAGGCAACAUUUGAGCAGUGUAUAAGACAUGAGAUUGCAUCAUAACCCUAUUGGCACCAAUGCAAAAAUAUGCAGAUUGAGACUUAUAUGUAUCAUGACAUGGCUCAAACAAACAAACAAACAAACAAAACCCCUGUCAUAACUGUUAAAC